UCCAAUUUUGUAACUAUUUCACUGUAAAACGAACCCAGAUCUCUUUUCCUCAAGAUGUUAUUUGGUGUCACAGUUGGUGGUGAUAUGAGAAAGUUUUAAGGACAUCUGCAAACUCCCUCUCCUCUCUCUCUUUCUCCCUGUUUCUCUCUCAAGAAGGAAAUACUUGCCAGCCAGCCAGCUUCCCACGCACUGCAGAAGCCAUUCUAGCUUGGGGUGAUGCUUAGUUUUAACCUGCGUUUGCCUGUAAGGUGGAGGAAGUCUCAUGCUUCUCCCUCAGGCUGGUGUGCGGUCUCCUAUAGACCUACUAUACAUGACAGAUACUGAAGCAUGCUACUUGAGAACUAUAUACAGAAGAAAGUCACCCUGGG
rnacentral:lncRNA from 1 species